rnacentral:rRNA from 1 species
CCUACGGGUGGCAGCAGUGAGGAAUAUUGCUCAAUGGACGAGAGUCUGAACCAGCAAAGUAGCGUGAAGGAUGACUGCUUUAUGGUUUUUAAACUUCUUUUAUAUGGGAAUUAAAUGUUCCACGUGUGGGAUUUUGUAUGUACCAUAUGAAUAAGGAUCGGCUGAAUCCGUGACAGCAGCCGCGGUAAUACGGAGGAUCCGAGCGUUAUCCGGAUUUAUUGGGGUUAAAGGGUGCGUAGGUGGAUUAUUAAGUCAGUUGUGAAAGUUUGCGGCUCAACCGUAAAAUUGCAGUUGAAACUGGCAGUCGUGAGUAUAGGAGAGGUAGGCGGAAUUCGUGGUGUAGGGGUGAAAUGCUUAGAUAUCACGAAGAAUUCUGAUUGCGAAGGCAGUUCACUGGA